rnacentral:lncRNA from 1 species
UGAAGAUUGAAACAUUGACACCAUUAAGGAAUCACAAUAUACCAAAUACAAAAACUUCCAAUACAAUAUCACCUCUUUCAAGAAAGUUUCUCAUAAUAUGAUACAAAAGCCAUAUUAUAAACUGAGCCCACCAUAAACCUACCGUUUUUGGGUUGUUCUAUUCUAGCUAAGGUGUGAUGGUUUCAGUUAUGAUGGGGUUUUAGUAAGUAAAAUAUUCUAUGAAAAUCAAGACUAAGAAGAGUACUAUACUUGCAUGCCUCAAAGUUUCAGUCGAUGUUGAGGUACAAAAGCUUCUAUACUAUUUUUUCCGUGAGGGAAUUGGAUAACUUGCAUCCAUAAUUUUUUAGAUACUAGUAUCAUUACUUUUAUGAAAAAGUCUCUAUGAUUCCAGCUAAUCUGUUGUAUAUAAACACAAAAAAGACACUCAAAUGGCUGCACCCUAUCAAAUUCAUUAGAAGGCAUGGCAAGAUGGAGCAAAAUUACUUCCAGCCAUCUUUGGGACAACUCGUGUAUUUUCUUUUGGUUGUUACAUUGCGAGGAGUCUCAGGUACUAAAGUCACAAAAGCGAGGGAGACUUGAGGGCAUCACACACGUGCACCCUGUGAAAGCUCAAAACUUUCUAAACUUUUGAGACGAUAAUUCCCACUGUCUGAAAUCUUGACACGCAAAGAUUUCUAAGCUUUAAAUACGAUAGUUCCCAAUCUGAAAUCUUGACACAAAUAGCACAUAAAGACAUCAACCUUUAAAUCUACCAUUAAAAUGCACAAACACACAUAACAAAGCCAAACAGACAUGCUUGAAAAAUUGAAAGCUUUCAGAUACAUAAAACCCCAACUAGAAAACAACAAAUCUCGGGUACACCAUCAACACCAAAAUCAAAGUCAACUUUUUUGUAACAUACCCACACAGAUUUAAUUAAUUCUCAAUACAUCCAAACAUUAAAUUUGCUAGAAAUAACUUCUUUAAAAUUGAACUUUAUAAAAAACGAUAAUCAAAUUAAAAAGAACACGCAAGAGAUCUGGUAAAAACAACAAAAAACCAGAUAGAAAUCCGUAACAAGAAAAAAAAAAUAAAAACAGAGAUAGACCUUGCAAGGGCGGUUCUUAAUGACUAUGUAACCAUUCUUACGGAUGGUACCAGCUUGCUGAGGGUAAGUCUUGGAGGCUCCUGCAUCAGCCUUGGAUUCAAAGUGGUGCUCCUCGUCCGACAUGAUGAUUUAGUUAGGCUUGGAUCGAUUCACUCUCAAGCAGAAAAAAGAAGAACAGGUGAAAGAGGACGAUGACUCUGAAG